ACGGGAGGCAGCAGUGGGGAAUAUUGCACAAUGGGCGAAAGCCUGAUGCAGCGACGCCGCGUGAGGGAUGACGGCCUUCGGGUUGUAAACCUCUUUCAGCAGGGAAGAAGCGAAAGUGACGGUACCUGCAGAAGAAGCGCCGGCUAACUACGUGCCAGCAGCCGCGGUAAUACGUAGGGCGCAAGCGUUGUCCGGAAUUAUUGGGCGUAAAGAGCUCGUAGGCGGCUUGUCACGUCGGUUGUGAAAGCCCGGGGCUUAACCCCGGGUCUGCAGUCGAUACGGGCAGGCUAGAGUUCGGUAGGGGAGAUCGGAAUUCCUGGUGUAGCGGUGAAAUGCGCAGAUAUCAGGAGGAACACCGGUGGCGAAGGCGGAUCUCUGGGCCGAUACUGACGCUGAGGAGCGAAAGCGUGGGGAGCGAACAGGAUUAGAUACCCUGGUA
rnacentral:rRNA from 1 species